rnacentral:rRNA from 1 species
UACGGAGGGUGCAAGCGUUAAUCGGAAUUACUGGGCGUAAAGCGUGCGCAGGCGGUUUGUUAAGUCCGUUGUGAAAGCCCCGAGCUCAACUUGGGAAUUGCAGUGGAUACUGGCAGGCUGGAGUACGGUAGAGGAAGGUGGAAUUCCCGGCGUAGCAGUGAAAUGCGCAGAUAUCAGGAGGAACACCAAUGGCGAAGGCAGCUCGCUGGGACGGUACUGACACUGAGACGCGAAAGCGUGGGGAGCAAACAGG